UACGUAGGGUGCGAGCGUUAAUCGGAAUUACUGGGCGUAAAGCGUGCGUAGGCGGUUCGUUAUGUCUGCUGUGAAAUCCCCGGGCUCAACCUGGGAAUGGCAGUGGAAACUGGCGGGCUUGAGUGUGGCAGGAGGGGGUGGAAUUCCGCGUGUAGCAGUGAAAUGCGUAGAGAUGCGGAGGAACACCGAUGGCGAAGGCAGCCCCCUGGGCUAACACUGACGCUGAGGCACGAAAGCGUGGGAGCAAACAGG
rnacentral:rRNA from 1 species